UACGUAGGCAGCAAGCGUUGUUCGGAGUUACUGGGCGUAAAGGGUGUGUAGGCGGUUGGAUAAGUGUGGUGUGAAAUCUCCCGGCUCAACUGGGAGGGUGCGCUACAAACUGUCUGACUAGAGUUCGGAAGAGGCGAGUGGAAUUCCCGGUGUAGCGGUGAAAUGCGCAGAUAUCGGGAGGAACACCUAUGGGCGAAGGCAGCUCGCUGGGACGUUACUGAC
rnacentral:rRNA from 1 species